UGGGGAAUCUUGCACAAUGGGGGCAACCCUGAUGCAGCGACGCCGCGUGAGCGAUGAAGCCCUUCGGGGCGUAAAGCUCUUUCGACCGGAACGAUAAUGACGGUACCGGGAGAAGAAGCUGCGGCUAACUACGUGCCAGCAGCCGCGGUAAUACGUAGGCAGCAAGCGUUGUUCGGCGUUACUGGGCGUAAAGAGUGCGUAGGCGGUUUUCUAAGUUCGGUGUGAAAUCUCCCGGCUUAACUGGGAGGGUGCGCCGAAGACUGGGAAGCUGGAGUGUGGGAAAGGCAGGCGGAAUUCCUGGUGUAGCGGUGAAAUGCGUAGAUAUCAGGAGGAACACCGGCGGUGUAGACGGCUUGCUAGACCAUAACUGACGCUGAGGCACGAAAGCGUGGGUAGCAAACA
rnacentral:rRNA from 1 species